AGCUAGUAGCUUAGUUGAGAGCAAUGGCUUCCCCCUAUUCCUCUGCUUCUUUCUGUUGAUCGGAGUAUCACAUCUUUAGUUAUUCCUCUGCCUCCUUAAGCGAUAAUGGUACUUGUAAUAAAUGUCAGAUGCUAGCAGCAUUGGAGGUGAGGCUCACCGAAUUAGAAACGCAGCUCCGCACCAUGGACAACAGCCCAGCUAGCCAGGGCCAUGUAGCCGGUGUAGCGCCUCCUAGCCUCAGACCAAGCUAGCUAGCCACCCCCCAGCACUUCCCGAGCAGUCGGGAGCUCAGCCAGGCGGCUGGGGGACAGUUCGCAAGAGUCAUAGCCCGAAACAAUUGCAUCACCUGCCUGUUCAUGUUUCAAUUUUCCCCGCUGAGACACACCCACUGAGAGAACAACUCUGGUAACUGGCGAUGCCAUAGACAGAACCAUGAAGCUAGAGACACCAGCAGCCAUAGUCCACUUACUACCUUCAACUGGACCUUUCAACAAAACCAUGCAGUGUGGCUCUAACUACAUGCAAGCGCAGCAGCUGACAGGAUUUCAUCCAUAUCACCUUAAACAUGCAGAGCCCAUAAUGGACAAACCACAGUCUGUCUCUAGAGCAUGAAUUUUGCAUUUUCACAUUCAAGUAACAGCUUGAAUUUGGAGACGUUUGGAAGAUGUAGAAGAAGUAACACUAGAAACAAGAGGAAGCACGGUGGUGAGUUUAAGAACUGUAAUUUGAAGAAAUUGAGGAUCGUAGUUAUACUUUAACAUGAGAAGAAAGAAGACAGUGUGAAUUCCUGCCAUCAAAGACACAAAGGCACAAAGAAAUAGGACAGGCAGCAGCACAAGAUGUGGAUAAACACUGGUGUGGCCUUUCCCAGAUGGAAAUCCUUGAUGAGGUACAAAUGUUUCCAGAUGUUGCCUGUUUUCUGUUGGACCAGUAAGUUAGCCUAACAAGUAAAGUUAACUUAAAUUCAAGUUGUUAUUUGAUAGCUUUAGCUAGAACAUGGCCAGUGCUGGAUAACCCACUGCUGUUAAGUGAGCCGCCAUUAGGUUUUGCUUGGUCAAGUCAGCUGCACUUGUUUUCCGAGAGCACAGUUUGUCCUACAUUUACAGUAAAUGCUACGAAACAGCUGUACUGUAUAUCACGAUGUAUGAGAGCUUUGCUGAAGGUUGCAAUCUGCAGCCUCACCACUAGAUGUCACUAAAUCUUACACACUGCACCUUUAAAUACUUCUUAUUUGUGCUGCCUUGGUGUCAUAUUUAACUUUGGAAAAUGCAGUUUGACAAAACAAAGCCAACACAAGGUCCUCUUACUAGUUUUGUCUGAGGCCUUAACCUGUAUAACACAGUUGGAUCUGUUUCUGUGAUUUUGUAAACCAUCAAGACCAACUCCCUGCUCAACACACAAGCCAGUAAAUAUGAUACUAAACAUGAUUUCCUCUUCCUUUAUACGUGUGCUGAAGAAUGAAAACAAUCAAACUGCAACAAACACAAAUAUUUCUUUUUCAAGAAAAGCAACAUGUGGUUUGACAUCAGACACACUGGGCCUAACAAAGAUCAUUAUACACAUUUCAGAUGUGCAGUUUCAUGAUUAUUCUGGGACAGUAGAGACAGAGCUGAAGGAUGCUGGAUGCUUGGGGUUGGUGCUGAUGGUGGUGGGGAUAUGAUGAACUGUAGUGCUCAUCCAUCAAGACCAUUUACAAGCCAUAGAAUCUGCUCUAUAGCUGAGGGGGGAAAUUAAGUUAUAGGCCCACAUCUGCUGAUACCCACUGGUUCAUUAGAGGAUCUGCCUGCUUAUGCAGCAACUGUACAGCAUUGAACACACUGCAAAAAAUUAGAAAUAUGCUUUGAAUAUGUAACCUAUCAUUUAUGGAAAAUGGCUGAAGAUUAACUGUGAAAAUAAAGGAGGUAUAGUCAUACAUACACAUUUCUUGCAGUGCAUCUCUU